GACGAACGCUGGCGGCGUGCUUAACACAUGCAAGUCAAGGGGCCAGCAAUGGGCAACCGGCGAACGGGUGCGUAACACGUGAGCAACCUACCGAACUGUGGGGGAUAGCCGGCCUAACGGCCGAGUAAUACCGCAUACGCUCUCAGAGAGGCAUUUCUUUGAGAGGAAACCUACGGGACAGAUCGAGGGGCUCGCGGCCUAUCAGCUAGUUGGCGAGGUAACGGCUCACCAAGGCAACGACGGGUAGCUGGUCUGAGAGGAUGGCCAGCCACAUUGGGACUGAGAUACGGCCAGACUCCUACGGGAGGCAGCAGUGGGGAAUCUUGCGCAAUGGCCUAACGGCUGACGCAGCGACGCCGCGUGUGGG
rnacentral:rRNA from 1 species